rnacentral:tRNA from 1 species
UAUAAUUUAGUGUAAAUGCACGAAAAUUUUUGAAAUUUUAAGGUUAGUUAAAAUCUAAAAUUAUAU